GCUUUGCAAUAGUUGACUAAUUUAUCGUCGGUAAUCUUAUGUCAAAACUGAAAUCAAAGUCUGUUUCAAACAUCCACAUGGACUUCAACAGAUUUGCAAAGCACUCUGCUUAGUGUAAAUGGGUAUACACAAAUAUGAAAACUGGGGUUUAUUUUCAAAGAACUCGAAGUCAGUGCAGUGAUUCUCAGCAAAAAUAUACCUGGUUGAGAAUCUGCCUGUAAUGUGAUGUUACUGACACAAGUACACUGCACAUGUAAAUUCUGUUGGCUGUCCUGUCAUAUUUUCAGAAUGUAACCAGUUCUCACCACUUCCCUUGCUAUCAUCCUAUUGAAGCUACCAGUGGCUCUUGCCUUGUAACUCCUCCCUGCUUCCACUCUUGCCCUACUGCAGUCUGUUUUCAACACAGCCAGAGUUACCCUUUUUGUAAGAGAGUGCUAUGUACAACUCUGAGAAGUUGUAAGGUUAGUCUCACAGAAGUGAGGAGCAUGAGGACAGUCUAGCUGGGAUGUCAUCCAAAUGAUUUCCAAGCUGAUCUAGAAAACUCUCCUCACUAUUUCACUCUUUGUAUGUAACCUCCAAAGAUGGUGUGUGUGUGUUUCUAGUAUAAGUGUGCAAAUAGCUGCACUCUUGUAAAACUUUUGAAAUCCUAUUUCUAGAAACUAUCAUGAAACUUCCAGUGAAAUGGGUGCUGUUCUGGAAAUACAUAAAUUUUGUAAAAUUUUUAAUCAAGUGACGGAGAAGGUUAUUAAAUUGUCUCUGCAAAAGUUUCCGUAAACUUCAAUAUACAUUCUGCCAAAUUUCAAGGAAUAGGUAAUUUCCCUUAAUUUGUUCUAGAAUAUGGAGAAUGGAAAGGGGACCAAAAAAAGAGACAUCCUAACUCUUUGUUGAAAAUUACUAUAUCCCUGCUGCCCAAGCAUGGAGAGAAUACUACCAAAAACAAACUGCUAGGGAACAUUUUCACAAAGUUAAGUCCAGCAAUAUACAAAAGGAUAAUGUAUUCUUGUAUAAACACGUUUUCUAGGUUGAAAGAAAAAAGCGUACCCUAAGGAUAUAUUUGGUACAGUUCAAAAUAAUUUUUAAGACUGAGGUGAUGUAGGGAAGGAAAUAAUUUGAUGUAGUGUACUUAGCAGAGAACUAUCAGAAUCAUCGUUUUUAAUUAUGAAACAUUGGCAUACAGUAACUUCCUUCCAUAAUGCCAUAGUUGGAGUAAAAAGUUUCAGUUGGGUAAAAUGUAGGGUUGUGAGGUUAAUGAAUAAAUAACUAGGGUGAACUUCAGAGGAUGGGAAGCAGUCAGUUGCAUUGUAUCAGAAUUAAUGUUAUUGUUUGGUUUAUCUAUUUAAGGUCUGGAACAAGUCAAGAAUGUCAGCUGCCACUUCAGUCUACAGCAUUGUUCUCUGGGGUUUAGCAAAUGAGAAAUAUUAGGAAUGGAAGCAACAGAACAUUACUUACAAGUGUGCAUCCAGACAAUAAGUGGGUGAAGUAUCAAACUCAAAUUCUGCACCAAUGAAUGUUUCACCUUGUGAGUGGGCUUCACUGGGAGCAGUACCAAUCGGAGUUAUGGCUUCCCAGAGAGUUCCCUAUGACUGGUUAACAAAGAAAAAGUACUGGCCUCGUUUAUGCACAGUUUGUUGUGGAUGGCAGCUGCAUUCUAGCUCCUGAAAGCCGAUGGCAAAAGUCCACUGGCAGAGGUAUUGCUGCACAUCUGUUGGAAAAAACAAAAGUUCCAAAGACUUCAUGAAACCAUUUGACAAAGUUUCAUAGCAAACAGUACUAAGGACUAGAGGUGAAUGGAUUGCCAAUAUAAUAAAUCAGAAAUUCAAAUAUUCAUUGUAAGUUUUUCCUAUUCACACUGUAGAUGGACAACAUUUCAUGCUCAUAUUCCAGUUUAUAAUUCUAUUUUGCCCCUUUCCUUUCCAUAGUAAGUUUUAAUCUUAGACCAGUCUUCAUCUCUUUUAGUUCUCAGUAAUGGAAUUUGAGCAUUUGGUCCGGAAAACCACAGACCCUCCUUACUGCUGGUAUAAGAAAUUCCAGCAACAGAAUAAGAUGAUUUUCUGUUUUCGUAAAAUGCCCUUGAAAAUGUUAUUUCUAACAAAGGGGUCUUGUAAGACACCUGGAACUCAGAACUUAGAGCAUGUUUUGUGAAUAUAAGCUUGACCUUAAAAAGCCUGUAAAUUCUUUUUGUUUGUAUUGCUUAAUAAUGUGUUUCCCUGGUAAUAUUUAAAUUGACAUCUCCAUGUCCUUUAAGCUGUGAAUACCCAAGAGUUUUCUUUAAUAGCCAAGUAAAUAGAAAAUUUGUGUGCACACAAUAAUUUUUCAGGCAAACGUGAUAACUCUAAAUUACUGAAACUGCAUACAAUAACUUGUAUGCAAAUGUUUAUAGCAGCUUUGUUAAUCAAAAACUGGAAACAACCAGAUGUCCUGCAACAGGUGGGUGGAUAAACUGGUAUAUUCAUACAAUGAAAUAGUAAUCAGUGAUAAGAAGGAAAGAUCUGUUGAUUCACUGAACAAUGUAAAUGAAUUGGGUUUUUUAGUGGUAAAAUAUACAAAACAUAAACAUAGAUGAAUCUUAAAUGCAUUUUGCCGAGUAAAAGAAGCCAGACUCCAAAGACCCCAAAGUCUUGUAUGAUUCUAUUCAUGUGACAUUCUGAAAAAGGCAAAACUCAGGGGCAAAACUUAGUUUCCUAUAGCUGCUAUAAAAAAAUUACCACAGCUUGGUGGCUUACAACACAAAUUCAUUGUCUUACAGUUCUGGAAGCCAGAAGUCCGAAAUCAGUUUCACUAGGCCAAAGUCAAGAUGUUGUAGGGCUGGUUCCUUCUGGAGACUCUAGACAAAGUUCAUUUUCAUGACUUUUCUAGCUUCUGGAGGCUGCUUGUAUUCCUUACCCUGUGACUCCAUCCUCACAUCAUUCCAACUCUUGCUUCUAUCUUCAUGUCUCCUACUACCUCCUCUGACUUUCUUGCUUCUGUCUUGUAAGGACACUUGUGAUCACACUUAGAACUCACCCAAAUAACCCAGGAUCAUCUCCCCACCACAAAAUUUUUAACCUUUAUCACAUCUACAAAGUCCUUUUUGCCAUAUGAUGUAACAUUCAGUUGGGGGGAUUAGGACAUGGUUAUCUUUCAGGUCAUUAUUUGGUCUAUCACAGGACAGAAAGUAGAUCAGUGGUUACCAGGGCUUGAAGGAGAGGGAAGGGUUGAGUACUUAAUGGGCUACACAAGUGUGCUUGUGGAUAUAUGACACUACAAUUGUCAAAACCCACAAGAAAGAACUUUACUUUACACAAAAUUUAAAAAAUCAACCUGGUUGUCAAUGAUCCAGGAUGGAAUGCAGAAUGUGAUAAAAAGGUCUAAUUGUAUUAAAAAUGUAUGACAUAACUUCACUGAAGAGAGUCAGGGAAAAAGUUGCUAAACUUUGAAGAACAGUGUUUUUAAGCUCAUAGAUAACAGAACAGAUUGAUGGUUGCCAGAGGUAAGGGGCUGGGGGUGGGUGAAAUGGGUGAAGGGAGUCAAAAGGUACAAAAAGUAGGAGACAUGAGGAUAGAAGCAAGAGUUGGAAUGAUGUGAGGAUGGAGUCAUAGUUGUAAAUAAGUCAUGGGGAUGUAAUGUACAGCAUGGUGAUCUAGUUAGUAAUACUGUAUUGUGUAUUUGAAAGUUGCUAACAGAGUAGAUCUUAAAAGUUCUUAUCACAAGGAAAAAAAUUCUGUAACUGUGUAUAGUGAUGGAUGUUAACUAGACAUUGUGGUGAUCACAUUGCAAUAUAUACUAAUAUCGAAUCAUUAUGUUGUACACAUGAAACUAAUAUAAUGUCAUAUGUCAAUUAUACCACCAUAAAAAAAGAAAAAUGGUGUUUUGACUAGCUAAUGUAAGGCUAACAACAAAAAGAAUUGUACAUAAAUUCUGUACUCUAGUUGGCAGAUAUAGAAAUAUAGAUAUGUAUGUAUAAAUAGGGUGGUAUAUUUAGAUACAUUUCCUGGCUCUGACUGCUGAGAUGGCCUUGAAGCAGUGACACCCCACCAGCAAUAAGCACAUUUAUCACUCAGAUCUUUGUUUCUAGAUACCAUUUUCCAAUAAACAGGGUCAGGGCUCCUUGAAGAAGUGACUGAUUUUAGGGCUGGCACAGGCAAGAUAUAAGGUAAGUGCAGAAGAUCUGCAGGACCAGAAUAAGACAGCCCAGAAUAUGAGCCUGCACCUGACCACUCCAGACUCUUGCUGUGAUGUAUGUUCUGACUUUCACACUUUUGCUAUACUGUGCACUUUUCCUGAAAGAACCUGUACAUACUAUAAUGUCUUGUGAGUCCUCUUUAGCAGUUGAACCCUGUUUAAAUGCCACUUUAGUGCAGCUAUAUAUUCAAUUUUUGUAAACGAUACAUGAUUCCUAGGGAAAAAAGGUGUAUUGUCUAGUAUACCUGUUUCUUUUCAGGAAGCUAUUAAAGAAGACCUAUUAAUCAUAUUACAAAACGAUUCUCUAUAUGUCUUCAUACUUUGGCUUUAAAAAUUUCACUGCCAGGGAGCCAAGAUGGCGGUGUGAGU